AGUGGGAUCAUUGGGUCAUAAGGUAUGUGGUUAAAUUUAUAAGAAACUAACAAACUCUUUUCCAGAGUAACUGUACCAUUUUACAUUGUCAUCAGCAU
rnacentral:pre_miRNA from 1 species